UCCCUGGUGGUUCAGACGAUAAAGAAUCUGCCUGCAAUGCAGGAGACCCAGGUUCAAUCCCUGGGUUGGGAA
rnacentral:tRNA from 1 species